AGGCUUGAGCUGGAUGAUCAAAGGGAGGAAAAGAAGCCAGGGGAAUUCUGCCAUGAGAAGGAAUGGCGCUGCGAGUAGGAAAGUAGAACCACGCCCGCUUCUUCCCAUGGGCUCCAUGCCGGUCCAGUCCAGAAUGGCUAAGCUCAGAUCAAGGGUUCCUAAGAGGCAGGAGGUUCCCCCACAAAUAUAUGGAGAAAAGAGAUGUGCCCACUCAGAACAGACCCCCUGAGCCACCACAGCCAACAACAUUUUGGCCUCUGAGAAUCAAGAAGAAGCUAGACCCACAUUCUGCGAGCUGAGGAGUACAUUUUCCUUCCAGACCAGCUUGUCCAUCUCAGCUGACUUCACACAGUGAACCC